UUCUGGGGGUGCCUCUACUGAACCUUGCAACCUUCUUGGUUCGGUUGAAAGGUUAAGAGAGGCCAGAACUGUCGAAG
rnacentral:pre_miRNA from 1 species